AUUGAACGCUGGCGGCAGGCCUAACACAUGCAAGUCGAGCGGAUGAAGGGAGCUUGCUCCUGGAUUCAGCGGCGGACGGGUGAGUAAUGCCUAGGAAUCUGCCUGGUAGUGGGGGAUAACGUCCGGAAACGGGCGCUAAUACCGCAUACGUCCUGAGGGAGAAAGUGGGGGAUCUUCGGACCUCACGCUAUCAGAUGAGCCUAGGUCGGAUUAGCUAGUUGGUGGGGUAAAGGCCUACCAAGGCGACGAUCCGUAACUGGUCUGAGAGGAUGAUCAGUCACACUGGAACUGGGGCACGGUCCAGAAUCCUACGGGAGGGAGCCGUGGGGAAUAUUGGAGGAUGGGAGAAAGGCUGAUCCAGGCAUGCCGCGUGUGUGAAGAAGGUAUUCGGAUUGUAAAGCACUUUAAGUUGGGAGGAAGGGAAGUAAGUUAAUACCUUGCUGUUUUGACGUUACCAACAGAAUAAGCACCGGCUAACUUCGUG
rnacentral:rRNA from 1 species